CCUACGGGAGGCAGCAGUGGGGAAUAUUGCACAAUGGGCGCAAGCCUGAUGCAGCCAUGCCGCGUGUGUGAAGAAGGCCUUCGGGUUGUAAAGCACUUUCAGCGGGGAGGAAGGCGGUGAGGUUAAUAACCUCAUCGAUUGACGUUACCCGCAGAAGAAGCACCGGCUAACUCCGUGCUAGCAGCCGCGGUAAUACGGAGGGUGCAAGCGUUAAUCGGAAUUACUGGGCGUAAAGCGCACGCAGGCGGUCUGUCAAGUCGGAUGUGAAAUCCCCGGGCUCAACCUGGGAACUGCAUUCGAAACUGGCAGGCUAGAGUCUUGUAGAGGGGGGUAGAAUUCCAGGUGUAGCGGUGAAAUGCGUAGAGAUCUGGAGGAAUACCGGUGGCGAAGGCGGCCCCCUGGACAAAGACUGACGCUCAGGUGCGAAAGCGUGGGGAGCAAACAGGAUUAGAUACCCCGGUAGUC
rnacentral:rRNA from 1 species